GGAUGCCUUGUGCAUGCACAGUCGCAGAAGACACUGUGAUACGUUCCACAAAACGCCGUCGGGAGGUUACUGUAUACAGCAAUUACUCCGCGAGUUUCGCGAAAAGGCCGUGGGGAGGUUUCUGUAUACAGCAAUUAUCCGCCAGUUAUCUGAGGACUGAUGCCUGUUCUGAAUACAUUGUGAAGAGAAGAUAUGUCUGGAAGCUUUCCAGGUGUUUUGAGCCCUUGUGGUUUGAAACGUCCGAGCCCAGUCCCAGAGACACCAUGUGAUGGCUUAGUCGGCCGGCAUUGGUGGAGGGAUUGGAGCUAGGUAGGAAAGCUUGUCCUCGGGCAUUUUUGUUGUUUGAAGCUUUAUGCCUUCAUCUGAUGGGAAUGCUGGAUUGAUGUUGCCUGACCGCGCAUCACCGGAUGAUAUCUCGAGUAGCUGGUCUUAAUGGUAUGGCUUCGAGGCGAUCCGGCGUACCGUCAAUGAAGUCCGUACCGACACGUCGAUGUCAUCAGGAAAGACUUGAUUGUAAAAGGUAAUCAGUUUGCCGUUCCUUUGGAGCGGCUAUGGAUGAGCAUAUGACGAUGAUAGACGAAGAAGUGCAUUAAGGGCAUCUUGGUGGAUGCCUUGUGCAUGCACAGUCGCAGAAGACACUGUGAUACGUUCCACAAAACGCCGUCGGGAGGUUACUGUAUACAGCAAUUACUCCGCGAGUUUCGC
rnacentral:misc_RNA from 1 species